UGGCGCAGUCAGCACCACAGUCCUGUCAAAGUAAAUACAUAUGGAAUGGAUGAGGGACAUGCACACACACUUGUACUACAUUGACGUCCAGAAACGCAACCCCUCAUGGCGCUCCCUUCUCGAUGGGUCGCCCAGGCCGUUACAAGACCCGGUCCUCCCCCACCUCAACCUGCUGACCACUCCCACACCCUUCAUGUAAACUGUGUAUUUUCCUCCACACCUCUCUCAGUUGUGCCAUCCACUUGUCCUAGGUUUUAACACUGCCCUUCUAUUUUCCAGCCCAAUGUUUCAUUUUUCAACUCAGAUUUUUCUGAUUGUGAUUUUUCUGAUUCCGAUUCUGAAACAGAUUUUGUUUUCCCUGGUUACUUUCCCAUUUGUUACUCAAGCCCUUCCCUUCAGACACUUGGGUGCCAGAUUGGCCAUUUAUCUGGGACCUCUGCGGGCUGCCCAACAUAGGCACCCAGGAAAAGGUUCUGGUUCUGCCCAUAAACCCGCCUUUUAUUCUGAACUUGCCCCCAAGCCACUUUACUCCCUGCCUUUUUCAUCACCUCGUUCGCUGUCUACUUCUUCACCUCCUCCCAUUCAUCAUGUUUCUGCGAGUUCUGUUUCCUGGUCCUUCAUGUCUCUUGUGCUCCCCAACCUCGAUGGCGGCAGGCUGAUGAGGCUGAUGCGUUCUCACAUACUGGCUACUCGGGACCUGCAGAUCCCUGUCCUGCUACCUCGACAGCACUUGGCAACUGUCUCAGCGCCUAGGCAAAAGUAGACCCCGGCCACGGCUCCUUGGCAACGCCAACCCUGCUCCGAUGGUGCAUGCCCCGCUGCCGCCCUCUGAGCCCGCACUGGCGACACAAGCCCUGCGACCACCCUGCAAACCUGCUCUGCUCCAAUACCUGUAGAUCCCUAAAGUCAGUGACCAGCAAAGUCUUGUUACUGAAGAAUCUGAGAUUCAACAGUUAAGAUUUCCAAAAGACUCUUCUUGCUGACAUCAUUUCAACAUCAUCAACAACAUUUAACCCACAAUGCUUUGUUUCCUGUGCCUUAUUAGUAGACCUGCACGCAAAUGGAAAACACGAAGAGAGGCCUUAUCCAUUGCUAACGUAAGACUACUUAUGUCUAGAUUUGCGAAAGAGGUUUCUCUUAGGACACCUGUCAAUUACAUCGACACAUUGGAACCAGUUGCUUGAAGUUGAUAUGUAGAAAAACUGAAGUUGUUUGGACAGAAAAAUAACAACAAAACAUCGAACUCUCAGAUAAACUUUCAAAAUCAGACUGGUCAAAUUAAGCCAGUUUGUUCCUGAAGUGAGCUAUCACAACAUCAUCGGUUAUUUGAUUGUAAAGAAUAGUGCCAACAUGUAUCAGGACUGUUGAUGCUGUCAAGAGCCUGAAGUCAUAAUUAUUAUGUGUCUUGGUGGUUAAAGGAUGUUUGGGGGAUUCAACACAAUGAUCUUUGUCUCACGACAGAAAAGGUAUGUCUAUACUAAAAGGUCCAUCCACAGCCUAGGUGGAUGUACCCUGGUCAUUUGAGAAUGUCGUGAUGGGAUGCAAAUGAAGUGGAGGGGUCCUUGUGAAAGUCUGGAUACCUAAUAUCUCCACUGCCAAGUAAAAGAGUUGUGGUCGUGAGAGCCAGGCACAACAGAUGGAAAAAAACAAAUUAAUAUUCCACAUGAUAAGCGAUCGGAAGCAAGGUUAAACCACAGUACCGAUGUUGUCGAGGAGGAACGGAACUUUGCUGGAGAUGGGAACCAGUUUGACAGGGGCUUUGUAAUUGGCUUCUGGCUAUCUCCAGCUGGUCUGAGUGUUGGGGAGGUGGCGUCAUUCGGGUUGACAAUAAUCCGUGUGGACAGAUAAGUGUCCGGGAGAACUGGUUGCGACUGGUCCAAGUAGGUGUUCUUCGUGAGAGUCUCCAGAACAGGCCGUUUAGUCACAGAGCACAGAAAAGAGCCAGAGGGGUCCCAAACAGGUGUGCCGUGUAGAGAAGCUAGCUUCUGGCUAACAAGAGGCGAGGCAGAGGCAGCAGUCAGGUAGACUGUUUAACUGCUCUUUUGGGGUUGAUCAAACAGUCAAAUGAAACUGUGUUUUAGUGAAUCCAUUAAAAGGUACAAAACAGCAAAAACUGCAGCGGAGGCGCGGCAGCAGAUUGCCAGGUCCCCCAAUCCCACUGGCUUGCGAAGGUCGGGCGAAGGCCACUGUUUUGGACAAGUUGGGAUGGAGGACGACAAGGUGAGGGAAUAGUGUACGUAUUACAUGUUCCAGAAGUAGGAGUGCUCGGAGCAGAACCUUUGUCCAGCCAUCGACAGCUGGGAUGGUUCCAUGCAUACUAUGAGCCAUGCCAGGUGUCAAAGGGCCUGGUGUGCUGUGACAGGAGGGUGGGUGGUUUGCCGGUGGUGCAGGGCGGGGCGCGUUUGUCAGGGAAGUGGUCAAGGUUGGCCUGUGUAUUGUACCCUCUGUUAUGUCCGAGUCUCGGCAAGUCUUGGAUACAACAUGUGUCAGUGCUCCCUCAGCCUUCCCACUACCAGAACGGUCAGCAAGACCAAUAACCUUUUUACGGAGCAGUUUAUUCUUUUCAGAGGGAUAAAAUACCAACAUAGACAAAACACUCAAAAUAAACCCUUCCUUCACCAAACAAGAAGUAAAUAAAUGACGAUAAAAAUUUAAUCUACCUCCUAUAAAGCAAAAAGAGGAGGAAAGGUCUUCAAACACAAAGGGCAAUCAAACUUGAUAGCACUUGCUGUCAGCGGAGAGAGGCGUAGACAUGAGACUGUUCAAAUAGUUCCUUGACCAAUCACGUAGCAGCAAUCAGGUGAGGUUGAAUGAUCAACACCUGCUCCAAAUUCACUCAACCGGGACAAACACGCAGAGACCAUAAGAGAGGGGACA